AGCGUACGCUGGCGGCAGGCUUAACACAUGCAAGUCGAGCGGGCAUAGCAAUAUGUCAGCGGCAGACGGGUGAGUAACGCGUGGGAACGUACCUUUUGGUUCGGAACAACUGAGGGAAACUUCAGCUAAUACCGGAUAAGCCCUUACGGGGCAAGAUUUAUCGCCGAAAGAUCGGCCCGCGUCUGAUUAGCUAGUUGGUGAGGUAAUGGCUCACCAAGGCGACGAUCAGUAGCUGGUCUGAGAGGAUGAUCAGCCACAUUGGGACUGAGACACGGCCCAAACUCCUACGGGAGGCAGCAGUGGGGAAUAUUGGACAAUGGGCGCAAGCCUGAUCCAGCCAUGCCGCGUGAGUGAUGAAGGCCCUAGGGUUGUAAAGCUCUUUUGUGCGGGAAGAUAAUGACGGUACCGCAAGAAUAAGCCCCGGCUAACUUCGUGCCAGCCGCCGCCGUAA
rnacentral:rRNA from 1 species